AGAGUUUGAUCCUGGCUCAGGACGAACGCUGGCGGCGUGCCUAACACAUGCAAGUCGAACGAGGUCCAUCUGGUAGCAAUACCAGUGAAGAUCAAGUGGCGAACGGGUGAGUAGCACGUGAGCAACCUGCCCCGAAGACUGGGACAACACCGGGAAACCGGUGCUAAUACCGGAUACCCCCAUCGGAUCGCAUGAUCAGAUGAGGAAAUGGAUUCCGCUUCGGGAGGGGCUCGCGGCCUAUCAGCUAGUUGGUGAGGUAACGGCUCACCAAGGCUUCGACGGGUAGCUGGUCUGAGAGGACGAUCAGCCACACUGGGACUGAGACACGGCCCAGACUCCUACGGGAGGCAGCAGUGGGGAAUCUUGCACAAUGGGCGAAAGCCUGAUGCAGCAACGCCGCGUGAGGGACGAAGGCUUUCUGAGUUGUAAACCUCUUUCAGCAGGGACGAUUGUGACGGUACCUGCAGAAGAAGCCCCGGCCAANUACGUGCCAGCCGCCGCGGUAAUAC
rnacentral:rRNA from 1 species